GGCGGCAUAGCCAAGUGGUAAGGCACAGGUCUGCAACACCUUUAUCCCCAGUUCAAGUCUGGGUGCCGCCUCCA
rnacentral:tRNA from 1 species